UUUUCGUUAAAUAAUUCUACUUCCAAAUACAAAAGAAUUUUUCUUCCGGUUGAUGUAUAUAAUCCUAUGUAAUUUCUGAUAUCGAUGCAGAUGUUAAUCCAUAAGAGAAAAAAAGUUACUAUCAUUACAACCAUAAUUACUGUGCUGUAAAGCCUAACAAAACAAAACUAUUAUAUUAUUAUCCUUAAGAAUCGAUCCUCUAAAAUGCUUCACGAAUACAUUAAUACAUAAUACAUUAACAAUUGGUGGAAUGUGUAAACUUCUGAUGGCAAUAUACAAUGCCAAAGUUGGAAAAGGUCAAAGAGCUUUGAACCGGCGAAUUAGCGAGAGAAAAUCGUUGGAAGCGUUUAAUCUCCCAGGCAACUCGUUAAUUUAAGGAAUAAGAAGGGAGAUAAGUUUUUCUUUCCCGUAUCUUGAUGAAUUUCUCGCGUAACAAAAAAAUUCUACGGUUCGUGAAACUUGAAAAUAAAAAUGGAAAAAAAUUUUUAACCUCAUUCUAAUUAAUGAAAUGUUAUUUAAAUUCAAAUAAUUCAAUUU